CAAACCAAAGCUGGCGACCGGCGCACGGGUGAGUAACACGUAUCCAACCUGCCUCAUACUCGGGGAUAGCCUUUCGAAAGAAAGAUUAAUAUCCGAUAGCAUAUAUUUCCCGCAUGGGUUUAUAUUAAAGAAAUUCGGUAUGAGAUGGGGAUGCGUUCCAUUAGUUUGUUGGGGGGUAACGGCCCACCAAGACUACGAUGGAUAGGGGUUCUGAGAGGAAGGUCCCCCACAUUGGAACUGAGACACGGUCCAA
rnacentral:rRNA from 1 species